UAUCGGAUUGAUACUAAGCCAUGCGAGUCAUUGCAGUAAUGCAAGGCAGACGGCUCAGUAACGCGUAGUCAACCUACCCUAUGGACGGGAAUAACCUCGGGAAACUGAGUAUAAUGCCCGAUAGAACACUAUUCCUGGAAUGGUUUGUGUUCCAAAUGAUUUAUCGCCGUAGGAUGGGACUGCGGCCUAUCAGUUUGUUGGUGAGGUAAUGGCCCACCAAGACUAUUACAGGUACGGGCUCUGAGAGGAGUAGCCCGGAGAUGGGUACUGAGACACGGACCCAGGCCCUAUGGGGCGCAGCAGGCGAGAAAACUUUGCAAUGUGCGAGAGCACGACAAGGUUAAUCCGAGUGGUUUGUGCUAAACGAACCUUUUGACAGUCCUAGAAACACUGUUGAAUAAGGGGUGGGCAAGUUCUGGUGUCAGCCGCCGCGGUAAAACCAGCACCUCAAGUGGUCAGGAUGAUUAUUGGGCCUAAAGCAUCCGUAGCCGGCUCUGUAAGUUUUCGGUUAAAUCUGUACGCUCAACGUACAGGCUGCCGGGAAUACUGCAGAGCUAGGGAGUGGGAGAGGUAGACGGUACUCGGUAGGAAGGGGUAAAAUCCUUUGAUCUAUUGAUGACCACCUGUGGCGAAGGCGGUCUACCAGAACACGUCCGACGGUGAGGGAUGAAAGCUGGGGGAGCAAACCGGAUUAGAUACCCGGGUAGUCCCAGCUGUAAACUAUGCAAACUCAGUGAUGCAUUGGCUUGUGGCCAAUGCAGUGCUGCAGGGAAGCCGUUAAGUUUGCCGCCUGGGAAGUACGUACGCAAGUAUGAAACUUAAAGGAAUUGGCGGGGGAGCACCACAAGGGGUGAAGCCUGCGGUUCAAUUGGAGUC
rnacentral:rRNA from 1 species